rnacentral:rRNA from 1 species
UAGAGUUUGAUCCUGGCUCAGGACGAACGCUGGCGGCGCGCUUAACACAUGCAAGUCGAACGGUGAACCGGGCUUCGGCCCGGGGAUCAGUGGCGAACGGGUGCGUAACACGUGGGCAACCUGCCCCUCACUCUGGGAUAACCCCGGGAAACCGGAGCUAAUACCGGAUACUCCGAACGGUCCGCAUGGUCCGAUCGGGAAAGGUCCGCCGGUGAGGGAUGGGCCCGCGGCCUAUCAGCUUGUUGGUGAGGUAACGGCUCACCAAGGCGACGACGGGUAGCUGGUCUGAGAGGACGACCAGCCACACUGGGACUGAGAUACGGCCCAGACUCCUACGGGAGGCAGCAGUGGGGAAUCUUGCGCAAUGGGCGAAAGCCUGACGCAGCGACGCCGCGUGGGGGAUGAAGGCCCUCGGGUUGUAAACCCCUUUCGGCAGGGACGAAGCGGUUCCGUGACGGUACCUGCAGAAGAAGCCUCGGCUAACUACGUGCCAGCAGCCGC